AACGAACGCUGGCGGCAUGCCUAACACAUGCAAGUCGAACGAGACCUUCGGGUCUAGUGGCGCACGGGUGCGUAACGCGUGGGAACCUGCCCUUAGGUUCGGAAUAACUCCCCGAAAGGGGUGCUAAUACCGGAUAAUGUCUUCGGACCAAAGAUUUAUCGCCUUUGGAUGGGCCCGCGUUGGAUUAGCUAGUUGGUAGGGUAAAAGCCUACCAAGGCGACGAUCCAUAGCUGGUCUGAGAGGAUGAUCAGCCACACUGGGAAUGAGACACGGCCCAGACUCCGACGGGAGGCAGCAGUGGGGAAUAUUGGACAAGGGGCGAAAGCCUGAUCCAGCAAUGCCGCGUGAGUGAUGAAGGCCUUAGGGUUGUAAAGCUCUUUUACCCGGGAUGAUAAUGACAGUAACGGGAGAAUAAGCUCCGGCUAACUCCGUG
rnacentral:rRNA from 1 species